GGCCAGACUCCUACGGGAGGCAGCAGUGGGGAAUAUUGCACAAUGGGGGAAACCCUGAUGCAGCGACGCCGCGUGAGUGAAGAAGUAAUUCGUUAUGUAAAGCUCUAUCAGCAGGGAAGAAAAUGACGGUACCUGAGUAAGAAGCCCCGGCUAACUACGUGCCAGCAGCCGCGGUAAUACGUAGGGGGCAAGCGUUAUCCGGAUUUACUGGGUGUAAAGGGUGCGUAGACGGAGAAACAAGUUGGUUGUGAAAUCCCGCGGCUCAACUGAGGAACUGCAACCAAAACUAUUUCCCUUGAGUGUCGGAGAGGAAAGUGGAAUUCCUAGUGUAGCGGUGAAAUGCGUAGAUAUUAGGAGGAACACCAGUGGCGAAGGCGACUUUCUGGACGAUAACUGACGUUGAGGCACGAAAGUGUGGGGAGCAAACAGGAUUAGAUACCCUAGUA
rnacentral:rRNA from 1 species